GAUGAAGAACGUAGCGAAAUGCGAUAAGUAAUGUGAAUUGCAGAAUUCAGUGAAUCGUCGAAUCUUUGAACGCACCUUGCGCCCCUUGGUUAUUCCAAAGGGCAUGCCUGUUUGAGUAUCAUGAACACCUCAACUCUUGUGGUUUCCCACAAUGAGCUUGGACUGUGGAGGUUUUGUUGGCCCUGUGGUCAGCUCCUCUCAAAUGGAUCAGCUUACCGGUGUUUGGUGGCAUUACGGGUGUGAUAACUAUCUACGCUCGUGGUCGUCUCCAAAUAACCUCCAGUGAUGGAGGUUCGCUGGAGCUUAUAAAUGUCUCUCCCCAGUGAAGACAGCCUUUGAACGUUCGAUCUCAAAUCAGGUAGGACUACCCGCUGAACUUAAGCAUAUCAAUAAGCGGAGGA
rnacentral:misc_RNA from 1 species